rnacentral:tRNA from 1 species
GCAUUGGUGGUUCAGUGGUAGAAUUCUCAUCUUUCAUGCAGAUGGCCCAGGUUCAAAUCCCAGCCCAUGCG